rnacentral:rRNA from 1 species
UACGUAGGGGGGCAAGCGUUGUCCGGAUUUAUUGGGUUUAAAGGUGCGUAGGUGGCCUUGUAAGUCCGUGGUGAAAGCCUCUCGCUUAACGAGAGAACUGCCAUGGAUACUGCAAGGCUUGAGUCCAGACGAGGUUGGCGGAAUGGAUGGUGUAGCGGUGAAAUGCAUAGAUACCAUCCAGAACCCCGAUUGCGUAGGCAGCUGACUAGGCUGGUACUGACACUGAGGCACGAAAGCGUGGGGAGCGAACAGG